rnacentral:rRNA from 1 species
UACGGGGGGGGCAAGCGUUGUUCGGAAUUACUGGGCGGAAAGGGCUCGUAGGUGGCCAACUAAGUCAGACGUGAAAUCCCCCGGCUUAACCUGGGAACUGCGUCUGAUACUGGACGGCUUGAGUAUGGGAGAGGGAUGUAGAAUUCCAGGUGUAGCGGUGAAAUGCGUAGAUAUCUGGAGGAAUACCGGUGGCGAAGGCGGCAUCCUGGACCGGCAUUGACGCUGAGGAGCGAAAGCCAGGGGAGCAAACGGG